GUAGUCUCUCCCAAGUAGCGGCGAAUCCCCAUUCUCCAGGGAGCGGCGGCGAGACCCUUCUCGGGCACUACCGCUGCUUCCGGCAACGUCCAUCUGUAUCACCAGCUUGCCGCCUGGCCGAUCACGCUCGCCCACGACCGCCGAUUACGCGAUGGAACCUGACUCUCAACACGGCUGACGGCCCGUUCCCCACCCUGGAUUCCCCUCACCCAAGUUGAUAUACAUUCAUCAGCUAAAUAACCUCAAAGGAGUGUUGUCAACAACAACAAAAACUCAAAGGAGAUAACCUUGUUAGGGGAUGACCACAACCGUACUACCUGAUGACCUGGUGAUGGAGAUCCUGUCUCGGCUGCCGCUGAAGUCCUUUUGCCAUUUCAGAUGUGUCUCCAAAUCUUGGCUUGCCUUCUCAUCUGAUCCACACUACCGCUGGAAGCUCCCAAGAACUCCUAUCGGUCUCCUCUACCAAAAAGGUGAGCAUGGCACUCCCAUCCUUCUGGCGGGACUUCCCUCAAAUGAUAGGGAUAUUAAUAUAACACUUAGCUUUGUGUCGUGUUGUGGGCAUCCCUUAGAGCUUAAGGACUGCAGCAAUGGCCUACUUCUUUGUUAUCAUUGUGAUACGCACUAUAAAUAAAUAUCCGACGCUAUCAUGUGCAAUCCAGCAACUAAAGAGUGGAUUGCACUUCCAUAUAUUUGCUGUUCUCAGGUUUUGUUUUGAUCA